AUUGAACGCUGGCGGCAGGCCUAACACAUGCAAGUCGAACGAGUGGCGGACGGGUGAGUAACGCUAAUCAACCUGCCCUUCAGUGGGGGACAACAGCUGGAAACGACUGCUAAUACCGCAUACUGAAGGAGGGGAUUGGGUCUGAUUGGCUAGUAGGUGGGGUAAAGGCUCACCAAGGCGAGGAUCCCUAACUGGUCUGAGAGGAUGACCAGCCACACGGGAACUGAGACACGGUCCGUACUCCUACGGGAGGCAGCAGUGGGGAAUAUUGGACAAUGGGCGCAAGCCUGAUGCAGCCAUGCCGCGUGUAUGAAGAAGGCCUUCGGGUUGUAAAGUACUUUCAGCGGGGAGGCGUUACCCGCAGAAGAAGCACCGGCUAACUCCGUGCCAGCAGCCGCGGUAAUAC
rnacentral:rRNA from 1 species